AUUGAACGCUGGCGGCAGGCCUAACACAUGCAAGUCGAACGAGUGGCGGACGGGUGGGUAAUGUCUGGGAAACGGCCGGAUGGGGGGGGAUAACUACGGGAAACGGGAGCUAAUACCGCAUACCAUCGGAUGUGCCCAGAUGGGCUUAGCUAGUAGGUGGGGUAAGGGCUCACCUAGGCGACGAUCCCUACCGGGUCUGAGAGGAUGACCAGCCACACUGGAACUGAGACACGGUCCAGACUCCUACGUGAGGCAGCAGUGGGGAAUAUUGCACAAUGGGCGCAAGCCUGAUGCAGCCCUGCCGCGUGUAUGAAGAAGGCCUUCGGGUUGUAAAGUACUUUCAGCGAGGAGGCGUUACUCGCAGAAGAAGCACCGGCUAACUCCGUGCCAGCAGCCGCGGUAAUUC
rnacentral:rRNA from 1 species